UACGGAGGGCGCAAGCGUUAAUCGGAAUCACUGGGCGUAAAGCGUGCGUAGGCUGCUUGAUAAGUCAGACGUGAAAUCCCUCGGCUCAACCGGGGAACUGCGUUUGAUACUGUUGAGCUAGAGUCCUGGAGAGGGUGGCGGAAUUCCUGGUGUAGGAGUGAAAUCCGUAGAUAUCAGGAGGAACACCGGUGGCGAAGGCGGCCACCUGGACAGGUACUGACGCUGAGGUACGAAAGCGUGGGGAGCAAACAGG
rnacentral:rRNA from 1 species